CUGGGCUUCCUGAUGUGAAAUAGGAAGAACAUUCCUUUCUUCAUUUGACAGCUGAAGGAAAUGAAUUAUAGAAUGAAAGAAUUCAGGUGGAAAGAAAAAGAGAUAAACACCUGAGCUGAGUUUUAAAGAGUAACUCAAAACCAGGAAGUUAACCAAGGAGACUGGGAUUCUGCAGAAGAGGAGUUUAUAGAAACUGAAAACGAGAUUUUAGAAAAUAGUCAAUAAAUU
rnacentral:lncRNA from 1 species